GUCAGAUAGCGCAGUGGUUAGCGCUUCGGGUUCUAUUCGCAAGGUUGUCAGUUCAAGUCUAGUAGAUGACA